AAUACCGGUGGCGGAAGGCGGCCCCCUGGACGAAGACUGACGCUCAGGUGCGAAAGCGUGGGGGAGCAAACAGGAUUAGAUACCCGUGGUAGUCCACGCCGUAAACGAUGUCGACUUGGAGGUUGUUCCCUUGAGGAGUGGCUUCCGGAGCUAACGCGUUAAGUCGACCGCCUGGGGAGUACGGCCGCAAGGUUAAAACUCAAAUGAAUUGACGGGGGCCCGCACAAGCGGUGGAGCAUGUGGUUUAAUUCGAUGCAACGCGAAGAACCUUACCUACUCUUGACAUCCAGAGAAUUUAGCAGAGAUGCUUUGGUGCCUUCGGGAACUGUGAGACAGGUGCUGCAUGGCUGUCGUCAGCUCGUGUUGUGAAAUGUUGGGUUAAGUCCCGCAACGAGCGCAACCCUUAUCCUUUGUUGCCAGCGAUUCGGUCGGGAACUCAAAGGAGACUGCCGGUGAUAAACCGGAGGAAGGUGGGGAUGACGUCAAGUCAUCAUGGCCCUUACGAGUAGGGCUACACACGUGCUACAAUGGCGCAUACAAAGAGAAGCGACCUCGCGAGAGCAAGCGGACCUCAUAAAGUGCGUCGUAGUCCGGAUCGGAGUCUGCA
rnacentral:rRNA from 2 species